GACAGGUGGUGCAUGGUUGUCGUCAGCUCGUGUCGUGAGAUGUUGGGUUAAGUCCCGCAACGAGCGCAACCCCUAUCCUCAGUAGCCAGCAUUUAAGGUGGGCACUCUGGGGAGACUGCCAGGGAUAACCUGGAGGAAGGCGGGGAUGACGUCAAAUCAUCAUGCCCCUUAUGAUUUGGGCUACACACGUGCUACAAUGGCGUAAACAAAGGGAAGCGAGAUCGUGAGAUGGAGCAAAUCCCAAAAAUAACGUCCCAGUUCGGACUGUAGUCUGCAACCCGACUACACGAAGCUGGAAUCGCUAGUAAUCGCGGAUCAGAAUGCCGCGGUGAAUACGUUCCCGGGUCUUGUACACACCGCCCGUCACACCAUGGGAGUCAGUAACGCCCGAAGUCAGUGACCUAACUGCAAAGAAGGAGCUGCCGAAGGCGGGACCGAUGACUGGGGUGAAGUCGUAACAAGGUAGCCGUAUCGGAAGGUGCGGCUGGAUCACCUCCUUUCUAAGGAA
rnacentral:rRNA from 1 species